AACGAACGCUGGCGGCAUGCCUAACACAUGCAAGUCGAACGAGACCUUCGGGUCUAGUUGCGCACGGGUGCGUAACGCGUGGGAACCUGCCCUUAGGUUCGGAAUAACUCCCCGAAAGGGGUGCUCAUACCGGAUAAUGUCUUCGGACCAAAGAUUUAUCGCCUUUGGAUGGGCCCGCGUUGGAUUAGCUAGUUGGUAGGGUAAAAGCCUACCAACGCGACGAUCCAUAGCUGGUCUGAGAGGAUGAUCAGCCACACUGGGACUGAGACACGGCCCAGACUCCUACGGGAGGCAGCAGUGGGGAAUAUUGGACACUGGGCGAAAGCCUGAUCAAGCAAUGCCGCGUGAGUGAUGAAGGCCUUAGGGUUGUAAAGCUCUUUUACACGGGAUGAUAAUGACAGUACCGGGAGAAUAAGCUCCGGCUAACUCCGUG
rnacentral:rRNA from 1 species